GGCUCCUUGCUACAAUUUAAUAGGGAGUCGGACCUGCCCAGUGAUAGUAAUAUUCAACGGCCGCGGUACUUUGACCGUGCAAAGGUAGCAUAAUCAUUUGCCCUAUAAUUGAGGGCUAGUAUGAAAGGUUUGACAAGAACACAACUGUCUCUACAGAAAUCUUUAAAAUUUAUUUUUUAGGUGAAGAAACCUAAAUUCUAUUAAAAGACAAGAAGACCCUAUCGAGCUUUAAAUCUAUUUAUAUAAUAAAAAAAGUAUUACUAUAUUUUUAUAUAUAAAAAACUUUGGUUGGGGCGACUAAGGAACAAAAAAAGCUUCUUUAACGAUAACAACUGUCUAGUUAUGAUCCAUUAUUUAUGAUUAAAGAAAUUAGUUACCGUAGGGAUAACAGCAUAAUCUUUUUUGAGAGUUCUUAUCGAAAAAUAGGUUUGUGACCUCGAUGUUGGACUAGAAUAUCCUGAUAGAUGCAGAUGUCUUCAAGGGUUGGUCUGUUCGACCAUUAAAAUUCU
rnacentral:rRNA from 1 species